GUUUUAAUAGUUUAGAUGUAAAAUAAUGAUCUUGUAAAUCAUAGAGAGGAUUUCCUUUAAAACU
rnacentral:tRNA from 1 species